ACUCCUACGGGAGGCAGCAGUGGGGAAUCUUAGACAAUGGGCGCAAGCCUGAUCUAGCCAUGCCGCGUGAGUGAUGAAGGUCUUAGGAUCGUAAAGCUCUUUCGCCAGGGAUGAUAAUGACAGUACCUGGUAAAGAAACCCCGGCUAACUCCGUGCCAGCAGCCGCGGUAAUACGGAGGGGUUAGCGUUGUUCGGAAUUACUGGGCGUAAAGCGCGCGUAGGCGGAUCAG
rnacentral:rRNA from 1 species